rnacentral:lncRNA from 1 species
AGAAUGCUCCCCCAGACAGUGGGAAUGAGGAGGACAGCUGACAGCUUGCCACGUGCAGCUUGGAGAUCUCAGCAGUUUAUGGUGCUGUGGAAUGGAUUUUGAAGGAAAGGAGAAAUAAAGCCAGGAGGGGGAAGAGAAAUCAGGACUUAAAUCUGCUCUGAAGGCCAAGAUCUCUAGAGCUUUCCCUGGAAGUCAGCUUCAAAGGAAGGAACAGUAAAAGGAUUUGAGGAAAGAGACAUGUGCUUGGAUGGUGGCCUGAUGGUGUGACAGCUUCCAGCGGUGGUGAGCUGGCUGGGGAGACAGGAGGCUGCGUACCGAAAAGAGAGGGCGAGAGGAGCCGCCUGCCCAGGCAGCAGCUGCGCGUCCUUAUCGUGUCUGCGCUCACCUCGCAGCGGCGCUGAUAAAAUGCCAUCGCCGCUGUAAUCUCCCGAGCAGCCCCCGCGGAGAACGUUGCAGAGCAUGGGAGGCUGCAUCGCCUGCAGCCAGCCACCGGCGCGGGACCUCGGUCCAGAGCAAGGCAAGCAACUUGGAAUGAUAGACUUGGGAGAGUCUUCUUUAUAGGUUUGUAAUAAGGACCCCUGAAUAUAAAACCAUAAGCAACUACUGAACAGGUAUGUCAUUUUUGGAACCUGUAACUGGUGCCAAACUGGUGUACAGUAUCUUGCCACUAGAGGAUAACAACGAAACCUGUCAUGGAACUGGCUGGAAAGAAGAAUUUUCAUUCUGAGUGAGAAAUUUGGAUGUUUAAGAAUGUAUUUUUUUAUUUUUUAAAAAAUAAAUGGGAUCCUACACUUAGUGUCCUUCUUCCG